rnacentral:pre_miRNA from 1 species
UUUAGGGGUUUAGGGGUUUUUGAUACAAUGUUUUGACUCUUCGUCUUAUUUGAAAUUUUUUUACGAUUAAUAUUUUUAUUCUUACUAGAUUAUAAAAUAUGAAUAGUACUUUAUGUGUGACUAAUUUUUUAAAGUUUUUUAUAAAAUUUUCAAAUAAAACGAAUGGUCAAACGUUAGCCAUGGAAAAAC